GACGAACGCUGGCGGCGUGCUUAACACAUGCAAGUCGAACGGAAAGGCCCUGCUUUUGUGCGGUGCUCGAGUGGCGGACGGGUGAGUAACACGUGAGUAUCCUGCCCUUGACUUUGGGAUAACUUCAGGCAACUGGGGCUAAUACCGGAUAGCAGCUCCUGCUGCAUGGUGGGGGUUGGAAAGUUUCGGCGGUUGGGGAUGGACUCGCGGCUUAUCAGCUUGUUGGUGGGGUAGUGGCUUACCAAGGCUUUGGCGGGUAGCCGGCCUGAGAGGGGGACCGGGGACAUUGGGACUGAGAGACGGCCCAGAUGCCUACGGGAGGCAGAAGUGGGGAAUAUUGCACAAUGGGCGGACGCCGGAUGCAGAAACGCUGCGUGUGGGAUGACGGCUUUUGGGUUGUAAACCGCUUUCGCAUGUGACGAAGCGGGAGUGACGGUAACGGGUAAAGAAGCACCGGCUAACUACGUG
rnacentral:rRNA from 1 species